AUGAACAUAGCCCUCCUGACCCGCUGGCUCUGGCGCAUUGCCAAUGGCAACGGAGGUCUCUGGCUCACCAUCAUCCGGAACAAAUAUCUUCGUGGACAGCCCCUUGCCUUCUGUCAGCGCUCGGGCGGCUCCCAGUUCUGGCAGGCCGUCGUCCAGCUGCUUCCGGUGCUUCGUAUUGGCACCUCCAUAGCGGUUGGUACGGGAUCUUCGACACUGUUCUGGCUGGACCGAUGGCUUGGGGACUCCCGCUUGGCCGCACGAUUCCCUGCGCUCUUCUCAAUUGCAGUUGACCCUCGUAUCUCUGUCGAGGCGGCCCUUAUUGACUUAGGGCGCCUCGCCUUCUGACGCCCCUUCGGGCCUCCAGAAGUGGCUGCCUGAGACACCCUUAUGCAGGACAUUGCCCUCCUCCCUAUGGAUGGCGUUGGCUCCCCGGAUAUAACGUCUUGGGGGCUCGAGCCUUCGGGCUGCUUUUCCACCAAAUCACUCUACGCGGCCAUCGCCCCCUCGACGGCACCCGAACCCUUCAGUUUGAUCUGGGAUAUCCGCCUGCCCUUGAAGAUCCGGAUCUUCUUAUGG
rnacentral:rRNA from 1 species